UUUGUGCUAGAGAAAACUGAUUUAACCACUAAUGUGGUGAGAUAUUAUAAUAUUAGAAGGUAUGAAAACUCUUCUCUGUUGUUCUACGCUGGACAUAAUUAAGUUGUUGUCAAUUGAUUAUAUAUUUGUGAUAACUGGAAAUACAUCUUUAUGUCUUCCUUACAUCAUCUUUAAUUGGUUUACAGUUCGACAAUUUCUAAUAUACUGAGAGUAGCAUAAUAUUAGAUGUUGAUUAUCUCCUUCCAAUUAAGAAUGCACAAAAUGAAAGAAAUUCAAGGUGAGACCACUUUACAAUUUUGUCGUCAUAUCUAUAUAGAGUUAGUUUAUAGAUUACUCUAUCUGUUUCAAAAUGUAAUUAGUUUUAAUUAAAAUUUUUUAUAUUUAAAAGUUAUUACUUUAAAAAACUGUCAUUUAAUAUAUAAAUUUAAUCAUUAAACAGUAAUUUACAUAAUUUUAUUGGCCACACAAUAUCCAAUAAAUAUAAAGUUACAUUAAAAUAUAAAAAUAAUUUAUAUAGUGAAACAAAAAAUACUUUUAAACCAUUAUAUUAUAAAAUAAAGGAAAUAUUCAAAUUAUAUUGAAACAUUAGAAUAUUAAAAAUCAAAAAAGCUGAAAUCUCAACGUCGAUCAUUUACGUCGGCCAUGCCUUAGACCAUCUCCAAUGUAUUCCUCUAUUUUUUUCUCUAAAAUAGAAGACUUUCAUAAUAGAUAUGGAUUUGUCUCCAAUGUAUUUUUCUAUUUUCUUUCCUAAAAAGGAAUAUUCUUGAUAUAUUCUUUUCUAAGUUUAUAAAUAAUAUUUUUUAUUUAAAUUGUUACAUUUAUCAUUUUUAUUUGUAUGUGAAUUUUUGUAUAUUAAAUUAUAUAUAACUAAUUUUUAAAUUUGUUUUUUUUAAAUAUUUUUAGUUUGAAAUAAAUAUUUCUAUUAUAGGUAACACAAUUAACUAAUAAAAUAUGAAGAAUCAAGUUUGAGUUUUUAGAGUUUUGUAAAAAAAAAUAUAUAUGUAUAUAACAUAAAUUAUUUUAGAGUUAUUCUUUUCUAAGUUUACAAAUAAAAGUAGUUAGGAUUUUCCCUGUUACAUAAUGAUUAGAAAUAUUAAAAAAGUAAAUAACAUAAGAAAGAGCUCUGUUUUAAAAAAAAAAGAAGCAAAAUUGCUAUAUUUUCACCCAUUUUGGCCUUCCACCCAAUUCGUCACUUUCACUACAUCUAAGCAUUCUUUGUGCAGGUCUCCAACGUUUCCAUGCCGCAACAUGUUGAUUUCUUCGAUUCAAAAUAAAACUGUAGGCAAAAAGAUAAAGAGUUUGGCUUACUUUUCC
rnacentral:lncRNA from 1 species